rnacentral:rRNA from 1 species
AUGGGAGCCUACCAUGCAGUCGAGCGGAAACGAGUUGUCUGAACCUUCGGGGAACGAUAACGGCGUCGAGCGGCGGACGGGUGAGUAAUGCCUGGGAAAUUGCCCUGAUGUGGGGGAUAACCAUUGGAAACGAUGGCUAAUACCGCAUAAUAGCUUCGGCUCAAAGAGGGGGACCUUCGGGCCUCUCGCGUCAGGAUAUGCCCAGGUGGGAUUAGCUAGUUGGUGAGGUAAUGGCUCACCAAGGCGACGAUCCCUAGCUGGUCUGAGAGGAUGAUCAGCCACACUGGAACUGAGACACGGUCCAGACUCCUACGGGAGGCAGCAGUGGGGAAUAUUGCACAAUGGGCGCAAGCCUGAUGCAGCCAUGCCGCGUGUAUGAAGAAGGCCUUCGGGUUGUAAAGUACUUUCAGCAGUGAGGAAGGUGGAUGUGUUAAUAGCGCCUUCAUUUGACGUUAGCUGCAGAAGAAGCACCGGCUAACUCCGUGCCAGCAGCCGCGGUAAUACGGAGGGUGCGAGCGUUAAUCGGAAUUACUGGGCGUAAAGCGCAUGCAGGUGGUUUGUUAAGUCAGAUGUGAAAGCCCGGGGCUCAACCUCGGAAUUGCAUUUGAAACUGGCAGACUAGAGUACUGUAGAGGGGGGUAGAAUUUCAGGUGUAGCGGUGAAAUGCGUAGAGAUCUGAAGGAAUACCGGUGGCGAAGGCGGCCCCCUGGACAGAUACUGACACUCAGAUGCGAAAGCGUGGGGAGCAAACAGGAUUAGAUACCUGGGUAGUCAAA